rnacentral:rRNA from 1 species
UACCAGCACCCCGAGUGGUCGGGACGAUUAUUGGGCCUAAAGCAUCCGUAGCCGGUCCUGCAAGUCUUCCGUUAAAUCCAGCCGCUCAACAGAUGGGGCUGCGGGGGGAUACUACAGGGCUAGGAGGCGGGAGAGGCAAGCGGUACUUUAUGGGUAGGGGUAAAAUCCGUUGAUCCAUAGAAGACCACCAGUGGCGAAGGCGGCUUGCCAGAACGCGCUCGACGGUGAGGGAUGAAAGCUGGGGGGAGCAAACCGG